AGAGCGAACGCUGGCGGCAGGCCUAACACAUGCAAGUCGAGCGCCGUAGCAAUACGGAGCGGCAGACGGGAGAGUAACACGUGGGAACGUACCCUUCAGUUCGGAACAACCCAGGGAAACUUGGGCUAAUACCGAAUACGUCCGUAAGGAGAAAGAUUUAUCGCUGAAGGAUCGGCCCGCGUCUGAUUAGCUUGUUGGUGAGGUAAUGGCUCACCAAGGCUACGAUCAGUAGCUGGUCUGAGAGGAUGAUCAGCCUCACUGGGACUGAGACACGGCCCAGACUCCUACGGGAGGCAGCAGUGGGGAAUAUUGGACAAUGGGCGCAAGCCUGAUCCAGCCAUGCCGCGUGGGUGAUGAAGGCCCUAGGGUUGUAAAGCCCUUUCGGCGGGAAGAUAAUGACGGUACCCGCAGAAGAAGCCCCGGCUAACUUCGUGCCAGCAGCCGC
rnacentral:rRNA from 1 species